GUGUGCGACAGCUGCUUGAAGAAAACUGGCAGACCUCGAAAAGAAAACAAAUUCAGUGCUAAGAGGCUGCAGACCACAAGACUGGGAAACCACUUGGAAGACCGAGUGAACAAAUUUUUGCGGCGACAGAAUCACCCUGAAGCCGGGGAGGUUUUUGUCCGAGUGGUGGCCAGCUCAGACAAGACGGUGGAGGUCAAGCCCGGGAUGAAGUCACGGUACGUGACAGGGCACAUCUGGGCCUGUCCUCCAAGUGAAGGAGAUGAUUACAUCUUCCAUUGCCACCCACCUGAUCAAAAAAUACCCAAGCCAAAACGACUGCAGGAGUGGUACAAAAAGAUGCUGGACAAGGCGUUUGCAGAGCGGAUCAUUCAUGACUACAAGGUACCGGUGCUGAAGGAAGGUGGUGGCUUUUGUCACAACUGAGUGAAGGAUAUUUGUGUGCCUUUUUCUUGCAUUCGCAUACUUGUUAAUUACCUUCACUUAUGAGGAUUAGAAAGCAGAAAAAUAAAAGCCUAAAGUGAG
rnacentral:sRNA from 1 species